UUCAUCUGCCAGCGUCAGCUGGAUCUGACAUCUAUAGGAGGUUCUGAAUUUGGAAGAGCAGUUCUCUAAGCUCCGUUACAAGUCAGUCCUCCUCCUGGAGUUUCUGCUGUUUGCAUUGACAGUCAAGGCUGUUGCCAGGAAAGAGGGCAGAUGAGGGUCUAAACGCUGCUGUUGAUUGGCAAAUUUUGAUUCCUGUUUCCUGAUUGGUACCAUAACACUGAUAUUCAAGGCUGUUGGAGUGUAGGGGAGAAGGGAAGAACAUGACACACUGGAUUACUGGCCAGCUAUUCUGAACAGAGGACUAAUGAGUAAAAACAUAUGUGCACCUCUCCCAUCUAACCUCACCACUCCGCUAUUUUUACACAUGCAAACUAGGUCUGUGAUGUCCAUUCCUCCUAUGCUUCACUGCUUCUGGAUCAGUUAAUGCUAGUACCAUUACAGUGGAAUGUUUGAUGUAGCCAUGGAAUGUCGCUAUACAAAUUGAAGGCAGCACUGUGACUGGCCCAAGAUAAGGAAGGCUGGGGAGGUAAAGCAGCAGCAGAUGGAGAACAUAUGACAUAACCAACUAGAGUGAAUGAAGGCUGGAUGGUGGUGUAUUAGGAGUGGUGAGGAAGGAGAAGACCAAGCAGAAA